rnacentral:lncRNA from 12 species
GGGGGAAGCCAGGACCUGACAUGAGGCAGGGCCUGGAGAAGGGGACAGGGGAACAGUAGCUGACUAAGUGAUGCCUGAUGUCUAAGGAUGAAGCAAGAAGCAUUAUGAUGCAGGCAGAGGCAGUGGCCUGUUCAGUGAGUUUCCAAGUAGAUGAUGGGAUUCCCACAAGGCAGAAACAUAGUGAUGCGAAUGAGGCAGCAUCUAGAAGGUUUGUCUGUGGCUGGGGUUCACUGGCAGAGCGCAGACCCUCGGAGAGGAGAGGGCGAGAAUGACAAAGUUACUCCUCCAGACCCAUGACCCAGGCACAGAGUAUAGAUCACCUGCUGAUAUUUGCCUUCUCACCAUGGAAGGAAGCCACUACUGCCUGGUUUCACCUGAGGGCUUACCGGUGUCCAAAGGACCAAUUCCAAAGGCUUGGAAGAUGCCCCCACUCCAUCCCAGGCCCCAAGCUAGCUACUUCUUCAGAGCAUGUUUCAUUCCUUUCAUGAGGUCAUUAUUGUCAUUCCCUCUGGCCAUCCCUGAUGCUGGCCUUGGAACCUGCCCAUAUUCUGUCCAAAGGCUUUUUCUUCCCUCACUGCUGGCGCCGGAACUCAGCCCACUCUUAGGAAGCAGACAUUGGAUUAUAACCAACAACUUUGACUAUGAUUCUUCAAAAGACAGAUUUCUCCCACAAAUGAUAUUUCCCUCUCAAAAAAAAAAAAAAAAAAAAAAAAAAAAGGCCAACUCACUACCUAGUCUCACCAAAAACACUACUGUGGAAAGCUUGAAUAACAGAGCCCAGACUUACCAUUUUCCUAAUAGGAUGACUCUGGACAGAGGUAGGAGGGAACCGAAUGAAAUGGGGAGCUAAUUUGCCAUCUAGAUGGCCUCCCUGCAAAUCAGAUGUCUCGAUCGCACUCUUGGCAAACGCUGAAGUGCAAUCAAUUCUUGGAUAAAUUCUCUGACAGGUGUUCAAAGCAAUGAUAUGCAGGGCUGUUGAUUAAAGAGUCAUCCACAUGUUUUAGAUGCCAGAUGUGCAGGCAGCAAAGUCAACAGUUAGUUGAGAAAAUGUAGGAGCCUGGCUGAUAUGUUCCCCAGAUGGACUGCAGGGACAUUGGCAAGUGAGCAAACUUUUUUUUUUUUUUUUAGGGGUUAGGUCAUAAGGCAUGAAAGAGAUCAUUCUGGCCUGCAAAAAUAGAAAGCACACUCAAAAAUCAUUUUAAAUCUGCUUGGAUCUCAAUCAGUUUAUUUUUAAAUGACCUACCCUUCCAUUUAAGGAAGUAAAUGUACACUGAAUGCCUACGAGGCUGGCUUUCAAUUUACUGCAAGAGACAGGCAUCUUAAGGGUAACCAUAAUAUAAAAUAAAAUUAUGUAUUGGCUGAUCCCCA